rnacentral:rRNA from 1 species
AGAAUCAACGCUGGCGGCGUGCCUAACACAUGCAAGUCGAACGAGAAAGGGGUAGCAAUACCCUGAGUAAAGUGGCGCACGGGUGAGUAACACGUGACUAACCUACCCUGGAGUGGGGGAUAACUGAGGGAAACCUUAGCUAAUACCGCAUAAUACCUACGGGUCAAAGGAGCAAUUCGCUUUGGGAGGGGGUCGCGGCCGAUUAGUUAGUUGGCGGGGUAAUGGCCCACCAAGACGAUGAUCGGUAUCCGGCCUGAGAGGGCGCACGGACACACUGGAACUGAAACACGGUCCAGACUCCUACGGGAGGCAGCAGUGGGGAAUUUUGCGCAAUGGGGGAAACCCUGACGCAGCAACGCCGCGUGGAGGAUGAAGUACUUCGGUACGUAAACUCCUUUCGAUCGGGACGAUUAUGACGGUACCGAGAGAAGAAGCCCCGGCUAACUUCGUGCCAGCAGCCGC